UUUCUCGGAUUUGUCCUCGUUUCGGGUGCGUUUUUUAUUUGCGUUCGACUUGCAUCGUAGAACCUGGUAGAAUUCGGCAAA
rnacentral:pre_miRNA from 1 species